GUAUGGACUCGGGUACCAGAGACAUGAUGGCACCACUGGGUCCAGCUGGUGUCAUAAUGCUGCAGUCAACUGAGUCAACAUGAGAGUCCUCUCUGGCUCUGAGCCUGUCCUCACUGGCUGCUUCACGUCCCUCUCUAUGCUGCCAUCUCAAGUUUUUAUGGCUCAGAGAGUUCCUGUCACUUCCCUGCUGAAUUCCUGUGUUCUUCCUUAGAAACUCUAUUCUAUUUUUGAUUAUCUACUGGCUGUUUUGUUUCUUCUUCGUGGAGAAGGAACCAUUUUCUUUAAUGAAAGAUAUUGGGUGGAGAUAGAAUUAGGUAAUUUGAAGGUAGCAGUAUUUCUCUGAAUUCUAGGAAUGCUCAAGGUAUAGUCCAUAUAUUUUUAUUUGUUUUACUU